GGAGUUUGGACCGUGUCUCAGUUCCAAUGUGGCCGAUCACCCUCUCAGGUCGGCUACUGAUCGUCGCCUUGGUAGGCCGUUACCCCACCAACUAACUAAUCAGACGCAGGCCCAUCCCUUGCCGAUAAAUCUUUGGCGAAACUGAGAUGUCUCAGCUCCGCAUUAUGAGGUUUUAAUCCCGGUUUCCCGAGGCUAUCCCUCUGCAAGGGGCAGGUUGCCUACGCGUUACUCACCCGUCCGCCGCUUUCCACUCAAUCACGCAACCGAAGUAUUGGUCAUGAGCUUCUCGCUCGACUUGCAUGUGUUAGGCACGCCGCCAGCGUUCAUCCUGAGCCAGGAUCAAAACUCU
rnacentral:rRNA from 1 species